CCUACGGGGGGCAGCAGUGGGGAAUAUUGGGCAAUGGGCGCAAGCCUGACCCAGCAACGCCGCGUGAAGGAAGAAGGCUUUCGGGUUGUAAACUUCUUUUCUCAGGGACGAAGAAAGUGACGGUAACGGAGGAAUAAGCCACGGCUAACUCCGUGCCAGCAGCCGCGGUAAUACGUAGGUGGCAAGCGUUAUCCGGAUUUAUGGGGUGUAAAGGGCGUGUAGGCGGGAGCGCAAGUCAGAUGUGAAAACUCAGGGCUCAACCCUGAGCCUGCCUUUGAAACUGUGUUUCUUGAGUGCUUGAGAGGCAAUCGGAAUUCCGUGUGUAGCGGUGAAAUGCGUAUAUAUACGGAGGAACCCCAGUGGCGACGGCGGAUUGCUGGACAGUACCUGACGCUGAGGCGCGAAAGCGUGGGGAGCAAACAGGAUUAGAUACCCGUGUAGUC
rnacentral:rRNA from 1 species